rnacentral:rRNA from 1 species
UGGGGAAUAUUGCACAAUGGGCGCAAGCCUGAUGCAGCCAUGCCGCGUGUAUGAAGAAGGCCUUCGGGUUGUAAAGUACUUUCAGCGGGGAGGAAGGCGAUAAGGUUAAUAACCUUGUCGAUUGACGUUACCCGCAGAAGAAGCACCGGCUAACUCCGUGCCAGCAGCCGCGGUAAUACGGAGGGUGCAAGCGUUAAUCGGAAUUACUGGGCGUAAAGCGCACGCAGGCGGUCUGUCAAGUCGGAUGUGAAAUCCCCGGGCUCAACCUGGGAACUGCAUUCGAAACUGGCAGGCUGGAGUCUUGUAGAGGGGGGUAGAAUUCCAGGUGUAGCGGUGAAAUGCGUAGAGAUCUGGAGGAAUACCGGUGGCGAAGGCGGCCCCCUGGACAAAGACUGACGCUCAGGUGCGAAAGCGUGGGGAGCAAACA